UACGAGGGGGGCGAGCGUUGUUCGGAAUUAUUGGGCGUAAAGGGUGCGUAGGCGGUUCCGCAAGUCCUGUGUGAAAUCUUCGGGCUCAACUCGAAGUCUGCACGGGAAACUGCGGGGCUUGAGUGUGGGAGAGGGAAGCGGAAUUUCCGGUGUAGCGGUGAAAUGCGUAGAUAUCGGAAGGAACACCAGUGGCGAAAGCGGCUUCCUGGUCCAGCACCGACGUUCAGGCACGAAAGCGUGGGGAGCAAACAGG
rnacentral:rRNA from 1 species